rnacentral:rRNA from 1 species
AUUGAACGCUGGCGGCAUGCUUUACACAUGCAAGUCGAACGGUAACAGGCCGCAAGGUGCUGACGAGUGGCGAACGGGUGAGUAAUGCAUCGGAACGUGCCCAGUCGUGGGGGAUAACGCAGCGAAAGCUGUGCUAAUACCGCAUACGAGCUAUGGAUGAAAGCGGGGGACCGUAAGGCCUCGCGCGAUUGGAGCGGGCGAUGUCAGAUUAGCUAGUUGGUGGGGUAAAGGCCCACCAAGGCGACGAUCUGUAGCUGGUCUGAGAGGACGACCAGCCACACUGGGACUGAGACACGGCCCAGACUCCUACGGGAGGCAGCAGUGGGGAAUUUUGGACAAUGGGCGCAAGCCUGAUCCAGCAAUGCCGCGUGCAGGAAGAAGGCCUUCGGGUUGUAAACUGCUUUUGUACGGAACGAAACGGUCUGGGUUAAUACCCUGGGCUAAUGACGGUACCGUAAGAAUAAGCACCGGCUAACUACGUGCCAGCCGCCGCCGUAA